AAAAUUUUUAAGUUUUAGUUCUUUUUCCGCUUCGCCUGUUUUUCAAAAACAUUGUAUUAAGUUUUAUUUAAUAUAGGAUCUGCUCAAUGAUUUAUUAAAUAGCUGCAGUAUUUUGACUGUGCAAAGGUAGCAUAAUAAUUUAGCCUUUUAAUUGAAGACUUGUAUGAAAGAUUUGAUGAGAAAUAAACUUUAUUAUUUAUAUAAUUAAAAUUUUAUUUUUAAGUAAAAAAGCUUAAAUGAUUUAAAGGGACCAUAAAACCCUAUAAAACUUUAUAAAUUAUAAUUUUAAUUUUUUUGGAUUAAUAAAUAUUUUAUUUUUAUAAUUUAUUUUAUUGGGGUGAUAAAAAAAAUUGAUUAACUUUUUUUAAAAUUUAACAUUAUUUAAUGAUUUAUUGAAUUAAAAUUUUUAAUUAAAGGAAAAAGUUACUUUAGGGAUAACAGCGUAAUUAAUUUUUUAAGUUCAAAUUUAAAAAAUUAGUUUGCGACCUCGAUGUUGAAUUAAGAUUAAUCUUAGGUGCAAAAUUUUAGUGUUAUAUAGGACUGCUCAUGAUUAUUAAUAGCUGCGUAUUUUGACUGUGCAAAGGUAGCAUAAUUAUUUAGCCUUUUUUUG
rnacentral:rRNA from 1 species